CUGCUCAACUCUUAAUUUUAUGUUCUAUCGCUCAAGUUCAGACAUUGGAGUUCCGAUUAUGUGCUUCACUCCCUCAAAGUAUCAUCUGGUUGCUUUGAUGAGUUUCUUUUGCCUUAAAUGAAUCCAAGCUGCUUGUUCUCUAUUAUUUGUUAUGCUUUUGACUGUUUUCCUGCAUUUAUUUGCAACUACUGCUCUGCUCAUUCUGGUAAAAUCCGUUUGAAUUUUUUCCCUCUUUCUCUUUUUUUUAAAAGGAAAACUUUGCACACACAUGCAUCUGUAGAUGAGCUUUUUCCUUUUCAAAUUUCUCAAUUAGAGUUUGAAGUUGUCUCUGGUAUGUGCUUUAUUCUGUUCAAUUUUGGUGAGGGUUUUCUCUAUUCUUGCAUUUCUUUUAAUGCACCGAUUAUUGAUAAUAGGAUUUUGGUAGGUAUUUGAGAGUUUCUCUGCUCUUUUGGAUAGUUUCCUAUAUUGUAUCCAAUUUGCACCCUUGACGCCCGAAAGGUUUUCGAUAAUAUGUCUAAAUCAACUAUUCCCUUUUCCCCCUUUAAUUUUGUUCUACAACUAAACACAUUAGUAGACUCAAUUUUCUGGGCUCAUGCAUGUCUAGAAUAGCUCACAAAAUUCCCUUCUGUAUACAAAAAGAAUAAGAAUUUCCACCAAUAAGAAGAUCUAUCAUCUUUCUCUCCUCCCGCGCCCUUCUUCUCUUAAGUAAACACUUAUCAACCUUUGUUUACUAAUCUCUUGAUAUCCCAUUUGGGUGUUCAUUCCUGUAAUUUUAUUUCAGUUUUAUCUGCGCAUGUUAUCACUAAGAUAAUUGAAAUAUCUAGAAGUUUGCAUUUUUCUUCACUCUUGAUAAUUUUUUGGUUCCAUUGCGAGGUCGUUUUCAAGCUCUGGGAUAAGUGAAUUGUCUUAGCUUUUACCUGAAGCGGAAAAGUUAUCUUUCUAAUCCGUUUAUGGACGGUUGCAUGGGAUCGAAAUGCAUCUCUAGAAAUCUUUUUUGUGAUAUACAAUCUGCAUUCUGCAGUUACAUGCUUGUGAUGUUAAAUUGGGGUACAUGUUGCAUGUAUCUCUAUAGUAAUCAGAAUUUGGUUUGAAGAAUGCGUCAAAUUAGCUACAUCUCACAUAUGUAAAAAUUACUAUUCAAGGUUUGCGCGAACCGUUCUGCCAUGAUUUUAACUUAAGUUUAAGUAGUUUAUGUUAUUACUGCAAUUAGUAAAUUGAGAUUCAAAAUACUAUUCAAGGUUUGCACGACCCAAGACAUCUCAGAAAAUGAAUGUGAUCUUCGUUUUUGGUAAGAGCUCUGUCUAAUAAAAUGACCAGUGAGAAUCGUUUGAUAAUGUAUCUUGGUUUUGGAACUAUGGAGUUUUUUGAUAGCAAUACUAUUUUCCAAUCAAUAAACUACGGAGCCUGAUAGCAAAAGCUUCUUGGACCUAGCACCUAGCUGUGACUUAAUGUCCCUUGAGGCUUAUUAUUAGGUCUCACUCAUGUUCUUGUAAGGAGCAUUUUUAGUUGUACAAAUAAUCUAAUGAUGUAUUUCAUACCUUUAUACAGGAGAACUGAAAAUAUUAGCCGCAACAGGGCCACUCCUUAUGCUGACAACUAUGUACUUCUACCUUUGAGGACUCCCUGUUGGCAAAAUUUGGUUUUUCAGUCUGCUUAUAUGAGGAAAGCAUUAUUUGAUUGAAAUGAGAUGAGACUGACGGAUCUAGCUUUUUUACAUAUCAUGGCGGUGGAAAUGAAAAUUACCGAAACUUAAGCAAAGUUUAAUGCCUAUUCUCCAAAACAAUGAUUCAUAUAUCAUAAUUGAGUUAAGAGUCCCCAAUGUGAUUGGAUAAUACAAAAGGUUUUCCACGUCAUGAACUUUGUUGUAAAUGGAGGUUUUGAGCCACUCAAGAAGAUUUUCCAGGUUUGCCUCUUCUUUCAUCUUUCAACAUUUUGGAAAUUUAUGGUUUCUCUUCGUUUGAAUAUUCCAGAUUUUGUAGGAGUUAACCUGGUCCACUUGCCAUAUUUCUCAUCCUAAAUGUAAAAUAUAGAGAAGGUCCAUGACAACUCAACAUUGUUACCUGUUAAAUGAGUUGUAUGUCUUCUCUUUUUAGUACCUCUCAUAUGAGAAGAAAGAUCACCUUGAGAUAAGCAUUAGCUAUUCUAGGCUUUUUGUUUGCACCGGAUUACACCUUACAUCUCUUUUGUAAGCUUUUACUUUAAGAUAAAAAAAUAAUACUAGCUUGAUGAAUGAUAUGGUAUUGUAAUGAUAUGGUAUUUUCAUUUGGAAAUUAGGUAGUCUAUUUACUAAGCUUGUGGUAUUUUAGUUUACAUUUCAUUGUAUAUUGGCCUUUCAAAGAACCAGUAAAAAUGAAGUUAAUAAGAUUUUUGGUUAUAAUAGGGGUAGUAGGAUCAUUUUGGAUCGUGAAUACAUAUUUGUGGCACCGCAUAUGUUAGAUCACUUUUUAAUGAUACUGGAUGAACACAUUCAUCCACUUGCUAUUCCAAUUGCCAAUGAAAAAGUUGUGAGGUCGAAAGAGAUCUAAUUGCGCAGAGAACUUUAUCAGAAAUACCAAAGUGGUUGAGAACCUUAACUUCAGUAAUGUCAAGGCUAUGUUUUACUUAAGAACAAUGCAUAUCGGCCCAAAAAAAGAACAUUGUUUCCAGAUGUUUAAGCAAGCAAAACUGAUGGUUAUUUGUAGUAAUCUGAGGUGACAAGCAUCAACUAUUGUUUGUAGUAUAGUUCUAAAAUAUUCAUAAUGUUAGAUGUUUGAAAAAAAAUUGCUCCCAUUGGGCCCGUUGCGAUGCACGGGCAAGCCCUGCUAGUAUAAUUUAGAAGUGGCAGUUUAGGUGUACGAACAUUGCAUUCUUUAGCUGUACAAAAGGCACUGUAAAUGGUACUAUAUAUUUGGGCCUACCUUAUUGGCGAAUUAGCACGUGGAUUACACUUUUUGCUUUAGCAAGCCACAUGGAUUUCACUAUUUCAGAUACACUGUAUUUCUAUAUUUUUCCAUCUAUUCACCCCUCUAAUUCUCUCUCUUUCAAUGUUCACCCCAACCUUCUUACUUAUUCAACAGUUCAAGGUGAGUUUUUAAAUUCCUCUGGGUUUUUUUUUUCAAAAUUCUUUCAUACAUUUUGACUUUUUCUGAUUUUACAUUCUGUUUGCUACAAUCUUCUAGCCUCUAAUGUGUUUUAAGUCUGGUAAGUUUUCUCCCCUGUUCUUUCUUUCUUGGCCCGUGUUCUGACUUUCUCUUUUGAAUUUCUUUGAAAAUUAUGUCCAUUUUUUGUUCGAUGUUGAUUUUUCUAUUGUUUUUGAAUAAUUUUUACUACAUUUUGUACAUGCAUGUUUGGAAUUUCAUAUUAUUUUGAUAUGUAUAUUUGGAAAGAAAUACUUAGGUGCAUGUUUUUUUGUUUCUGAUUUUGGGGGGUUUAAAGAUAACGACGUUGUGGAUGUCAUACAUCCUUCCUUUCUUGUGUCAGUUUGCUUAAAGGGGUAUUUGCUUCAUGUAGAGUAAUUAGUGAAGACUCUCCUAACAAAAUUUCACUGAAACAGAAAACUAGACCCGUUUAAUUAGCUUGGAUGGACCUCAAUCAAUUGUAGCAACAAAGGCAUUUUGGUACCCUCUUCCGAUUUUAGUUGACUACUAGAAAUUACAUGGGUGAAUUUAAUCGAUUUUGAUGAUUUUGCAAGGAACUUUCAUUAGUGAAAGUUGAAGGGAAGUGAUUCUAAACAAAGACAGUUUACCCUUCCACUGGAAAUCGGAUACAAUGUCUUUCCCUCAAACUUUAGGAAAUGUUUGACAUUUGAAUCAGAUAUGAUAUCUGUCCUUUUUUUGUUGGUUCUUUUUGUUGUUUCUUUCAGCAUGCAUGGGAGAUGGAACUUGGCUGCUUCUACUUAUUAUUAUUUGUAAGUGUAGAUUCAUUUAUUUUUUAACUAGGAGACAGUCUCUUAGGGAAGCUUUCCAAAAUAAAUAUCCAAUUACUGAAAAGACAAAUGUCGACUUCUUCAGGCCAGACCAACACUAUGUCAAGUUUUAAAGGGAAUGAUCGAAAAAAUGGGUUAUGCAGGAAGUUUGUUAUUUGUUAGUACUAUCUUACAAGUAUAUGAGCUCUCUUUUUUAGUUUAAUCUGACAGUUAGAUGCUGCAUCAGGGUUAAAAAUGUCUGCUUUAUCAAUAGAGUACAUGAAGUUCAACAAACUUCCUUGUUUAUUUAAAACUUCCUAACUUUAUGUAUGCUACUUAUUUGCUCAUUUUCACAGACGAUACCAAGUUGCAUGUGUCUGCUAUUAAUUUUAUUACAUAAGAGUAUCAUCUAUGUUCUUUAAUGACCAAUUAGUCUUGGAUGUUCAAGAGAAAUCUCAGCAGAUGAUUGAAAACACCGGAGGUCAAAAGCAACUUUCUUUUCAAAUUAAGGGUCUGUAGAUUAUUGUUACAGAUGUCGUGGUUGUUAAGAACUGGUGAAUAUGAUGAACAGAAGUAGAUAGAACCUGCAGUAACCCGUUCCUUUGCUGCCAACUAUACUUUUGGUGCUUUUAUAUAGUUCAGAAAAAUUAGUUUGGUGAUUAUUAUAGCUUCUUCUAUUAUAGUGGUCGUUACUGCAGGACAGCAACAUCUAUAAAAAUUAAUUCGAAAAUAAUUCGAAAAUAGGAUGGAUUCUCAUAAUAAGAGUUGUGAUGCGCGAAUCAAGAAUUUUCAGUGCUCUUCAAAAUAGCUUAGUAGUUGACACGUGUUCCAUUUGUGUCUUUUGCCUGGUUUUUCUCUUUUCUAAAUGUUGCCUCUAUGAUUUUAUUGUUCUCCGAUAUCGUCUUAGCACAACUCUUGGAAGAAAUAUGAGCAUCAUCCUCAUGGCCUUCGGAAGCCUGUGUUGAAGAUGUAAAGAUAAUUGUUGUAUUUGACAAACUCAUGGGCUUCAAAGAGAAUCAGUUAUAAUUGAGCAAUUUGUUGGCAAAAACAUGCGCUCAAGUGCAUCCAUUGCUGCCUUUGAUUCUUUUUUGAUUAUGCACAAAUUUAGCCAGCAUUGCCUCAAAGGACAUAGUUCUCUUAGAGGUCUCAAAGUUUGGAGAUCUGAGGGGGAAUGCAUACUGGUCGAUGAUUGAGUUAUUAUACCAUUCUAAAAGAAUAUGGAUACUCCGGUCCUGGAAGUACUUUUAACCGUGCCUAUUAUUUCCUUUACACUUGCUGGUGCAUUGUAGAUUCACUGUCUGAUCUUCUCUUUGUUGGCCUUGGUACUUUUGAUCUUUUUCCAGCAUCAGCUUGUAAUUAGCUAGGUAUUUAUGUUUGUAAUGAUAAAACUUCUAAAAUUUGAAUGUUGCGGUCAUCUUUUGUGUUCAAUUAUGGAGAACUAUAACUGAAAGAUUCAUUUAACAAAAAAAUAAAAAAACUAUGGUUGAAAGAUGCUGACAUGAUGUUUAUAUGUUAUUUGUGCAGGAUUUGGUAUGCCCAUUGCCUCUUUCAUACCCAGAAAGGAAAAUAAGUACCACAAAACUGUGUACUAACAAUCAAAACUUAAUUGUUGCUUUUUUUCACUUAUAACCUCUCACUGCACGUAGAGAAUUUUGCUAUAUAUACAUCAUAAAUAUUUUUACUAUUCAA